GGAGAGAUGGCUCAGUGGUUAAGGGCACUGGCUGCUCUUCCAGAGGACCUGGGUUCAAUUCCCAGCAUCCA
rfam:Neotoma lepida isolate 417 scaffold_27089, whole genome shotgun sequence.